ACGUCGGUGGUGUAGUGGGGUAGAGCAUGCGUCACCGGAUAGGAUGAAACGCGGGUUCGAUUCCCGCCUGACGCC